rnacentral:rRNA from 1 species
CAGUAGCCACGGUAAUACAGAGGAUGCAAGCGUUAUCCGGAAUGAUUGGGCGUAAAGCGUCUGUAGGUGGCUUUUCAAGUCCGCCGUCAAAUCCCAAGGCUCAACCCUGGACAAGCGGUGGAAACUACCAAGAUGGAGUACGGUAGGGGCAGAGGGAAUUUCCGGUGGAGCGGUGAAAUGCGUUGAGAUCGGAAGGAACACCAACGGUGAAAGCACUCUGCUGGGCCGACACUGACACUGAGAGACGAAAGUUAGGGGAGCGAACGGGAUUAGAUACCCCUGUAGUCCCUGUCUCUUAUAC